rnacentral:rRNA from 1 species
CAGCAGCCGCGGUAAUACGAAGGGUGCAAGUGUUACUCGGAAUUACUGGGCGUAAAGCGUGCGUAGGUGGUCGUUUAAGUCCGUUGUGAAAGCCCUGGGCUCAACCUGGGAACUGCAGUGGAUACUGGGCGACUAGAGUGUGGUAGAGGGUAGCGGAAUUCCUGGUGUAGCAGUGAAAUGCGUAGAGAUCAGGAGGAACAUCCAUGGCGAAGGCAGCUACCUGGACCAACACUGACACUGAGGCACGAAAGCGUGGGGAGCAAACAGGAUUAGAUACCCUGGUAGUCCACGCCCUAAACGAUGCGAACUGGAUGUUGGGUGCAAUUUGGCACGCAGUAUCGAAGCUAACGCGUUAAGUUCGCCGCCUGGGGAGUACGGCCGCAAGGUUAAAACUCAAAGGAAUUGACGG